UCCCUUUUAACUUGCUUCCCCAUUCAAUUUCACAGUGCCCACAACAAGAAGGCAGCCAUUCUCUUUCUCCUUCGACAGCCUUUCUUGUUUUCCACCAUCGCCGUGGUCAUUUCUCUUCUGAAAAAAACCCAUAAUUCUUCCACACAUAGUACCUUUUUUCUUGUUUUCAACAUAUAUUUCAGCCAAAAGGGUGAUUUUUCAGUCCUCUGUUUUGUAAUGGCUACUGCACCGGUAAAAUCUCAGCCUCUGCACUAUUUCUCUCUACCCCAAUUGAAGUGGGGUAACAAAAGCCACACAAAUGCUAACCACCGCUUCCGCCGCCGCGAUUCUCCUCCGUCUACUGGAGAUAACCCACCCCAAACCGCCGACUUGGACGGUGGUUCCGACUCCGAGAAGGUCCAACCCCGAUCGGCGGCAGACCCAAAUGGGGUUUCGUCUUGUCAAAGAGAAGACGAAAAUGAAAAAGAGGUUAAAGAAGAAGAAGAAGAAGAAGAAGGGGAGGUGAAGUUAUGGAAUCUAAGGCCGAGAAAGAGUGUGAUGAAGGUUGAAACGGUGUCGUUGAAGAACGUUGAAAUGCCAGUUGAAAGUAUGCAGAGGUCGCAGAGGUUGAAAGAUAACGUGGGUGUACAUGGAGUCGGGUCGGGUAAGAAGGGGAAAAGGAAAUUAUGGAUCUCACUGUCAAGGGAGGAGAUUGAGGAAGAUGUGUAUUCUAUGACCGGUUCAAGACCCGCUAGAAGACCCAAAAAAAGAUCCAAGACAAUUCAGAAACAACUCGAUAAUGUUUUCCCUGGGUUGUAUUUAGUAGGCCUUACUGCUGACUCAUUCAGAGUCAAUGAUACUACGAAGUAGAUAUGGCAUAGCUGGUGUAUCUGAAUUUUUGCUACUGUGGAAAAGAUUUUGCAAGGAUUGAGGAACACAAGGGGUGGAAAGCUUAGAGUUUUGAGGACUGCUGCAUUCGUGCCUCGACUGUAGGAGAUCAUUCCCCAAUAUCCUUGCUCACAAGAACAAAGGAUCCCUUUACCGUCGUCGUAUUUCACCAGACCAUCAUUGCAUUUCAAGGAAACUUCCAAAAAAAUUAAUCGAGGACUGAGCUACUGAAGCAAGUUUAGUCUGCUGGAUGCACAAAUAUAUCAGCAUCCUCUGUAUAUAUAUCUCUCUGCUCUCCCUUCUCCCUCUUUUAGGCUAUUCAUUGUUGGUUAUGGAGGGACAGAAAUGGUAGUUUUGAACCUCUUGGUAAACAUGGAAAGCUUGUGCCACUUUAUACCUUACAU